UACAGAGGUCUCAAGCGUUGUUCGGAUUCAUUGGGCGUAAAGGGUGCGUAGGUGGUUGUUUAAGUCUGUUGUGAAAGCCCCGGGCUCAACCUGGGAAUGGCAAUGGAUACUGGACAGCUAGAGUGCGGUAGAGGGUAGUGGAAUUCCCGGUGUAGCGGUGAAAUGCGCAGAUAUCGGGAGGAACACCGGUGGCGAAGGCGGUUCUCUGGGCCUUACCUGACGCUGAGGAGCGAAAGCGUGGGGAGCGAACGGG
rnacentral:rRNA from 1 species